CUGUCCAAUUAUCCCAGGUGCUGAGGGCGUGCUGGGUGUUGAACAAGAUAAGGAAAGAGGCAAAUCCUGUGAGGCAGAGUAGUGUUUCUUUGUCCUUACACAAGUGACUCAGCUGUGAUAACUCCCCUCCGGGGAAGCAUGGGGACAUUCAUACCUAACCUAAAGGUAUUCAUCUCUGCUGAUGGGCCACAAUGGGGUAUAAUGGACUCAACCAAACUGAUGUAAUAGGCAGCUGUAACAUCUUAGAAGGUAUCAAAGAGUCCUGAAAUGUCCUGUGAUCCAGUAUUACAUCAUCUAGUGUAAAACUCCCUGUCUCAGCGGAGGUACCAGGGCGUUUCCACCUAGCCUAAGCAUAAUAUAAACCCAAUGGACUCUGUUUCACAGGCUUUUUCCCCCACCCCCAACCUCGACCAUCACUUCGGCAGGACUAUGACCAUCACUUUGACCAACAAACAUCGAAACUACAACAACCAAGCCUCAUCGUGAGAUCCACAGUGACAUCUGGUGACCAGCGAUCCGAGAAGAGCUGAGAAGAAUACAACCAAGAACUGUGAAAUAGCAGCUGAAGACAGCGGAGAUUUGCCAUAGGGAUGGAGCCCUGGUGAAGCAAAGAGAGCAGCGGUGUAGUUGCUUGGCUGGUCAUGUUGAGACACCUGGGAAAGGACGGAGGACAUCUGUUGCGGCACUGGAGGAUUUGGCUCCACUGGUCAACCCCAAGUAUUCUGGACACAGACACUAACUGACAGCCAACUACAAAUGACAUGCAUGGUUGACAUGACACGCUCAGCGCCUGCCUCAAUUAAGAUGAAGGCAUAAUGGGCCUUGGGGGAGUUUCUUUGGAACAAAUUGCAGCUACUCCAGUUCUUAUAACCAAUCGAGAAGGGCAGAAAGCAACCGUGCGUCCUUAUGUUACUGCAGCUCCACUGAAUUUAUGGGGAUGGGGUUGUUUGGCACAAUGGGGAGUCCGCAUCACAACGGAUUUUCACUAAGGGCCACUGUCAUGCAGGGUGUGACCUAACCUACCCUCAAACUUAAAUGGUUGACAACUAAACCUGUUUGGGUCACCCAGUGGCCCCUUAGUGUGGAAAAGUUAAAUGCCCUGCAUACUUUGGUUGCUGAACAGUUGAAUGCUGGACACAUUGAGCCUUCACACAGUCCCUGGAAUACUCUCAUGCUUGUCAUUAAGAAAAAAAUCAGGAAAGUGGCGGUUGUUGCAUGAUUUACAACAAAUUAAUGAUGUUAUGGCUACUAUGGGGGCCCUACAACCACGUCUCCCCUCUCCCACUAUGAUUCCAACUGGAUGGGCCAUAGUGGUUUUAGAUCUGAAAGACUGUUUUUUUACUAUUCCUUUACACACAGAUGAUGUAGAAAAAUUUGCAUUUACAGUGCCUUCUAUAAAUCAUGCAGAACCAUCAAAGCAUUAUCAAUGGAAGGUGUUACCCCGGGGCAUGAAAAAUUCACCUACAAUUUGUUAAUGGUUUGUAGCUCAAGCCUUGAGUCCAGUCAGAGAACAAUUUCCUGAUAGCUAUUGUUAUCAUUACAUGAAUGACAUUCUCUUAGCUGUGGCUUCAGAAAACCAAUUGUCUGCAUUGGAACAAUCUAUUCGUGCUACUCUACAGUGCUUUGGCUUAGUCGUUGCCCCUGAAAAGGUACAACGACAGCAACCCUGGAAAUAUCUGGGAGUGAAAGUGUUUGAUCACACUGUAAGCCCUCAGCCAGUGCAACUUCAGACACAGGUUUCAACCCUGAAUGAUGCUCAAAAAUUGGCAGGAGUUAUUAAUUGGCUACGUCCUUAUUUAGGACUAAUUGUUGCUCAACUUAACCCUCUUUUUGAGUUGUUAAGAGGAGACAAUAAUAUUAAUGCACCCCAAACUCUUUCCAAGGCAGCACUACAAACCAUUACAGAAGUGGAGCAAGCCAUCCACUCAAAAUCCAUUUGGCGACUGGAUUUAACUUGUCCACUGCAAGUUUUUGUAUUUACAUCAGAACUGAUACCUUUUGUUGCAUUAGUUCAAUGGAAUGUAUAUUGGACUGACCCUUUGCAUGUGUUGGAGUGGGUCUUCCUGUCAAUCAAAGUGAAAAAGACUGCACCUGGACUUUUUGAAUUGCUUGCACAACUAAUUGUAAAAUGUAGAAUUCGCACAGUAGAAUUGUUAGGGCGAGACCCAGAAUGGUUUGUCAUACCUCUCCAAAUAGAAUAUUUUGAAUGGUGUUUAGCCAUUACAGGCUGCCUUAGAGAAUUAUCAUGGAAACAUUUCUUAUCAUUUGCCUGCUCAUCCUUUGUGCAAGCUGUCAAUUCAAAUUUCGCUAGGUCAAAAAAUGCUUGCGCAACGGACACCUGUUGAUGGGCCAACUGUUUUUACUGAUGGCUCAGGAAAAACACAUAAAGCAGCCAUAGU